AUGAAACCAACACAUUGCAUUUAUAUUUUUGUUCAGUUUAUCAUUUUUUAUUUAUUAUUGUAUAUAGAAAAAAGGUAACCUCAUGUUUCUCCCCAAUUUCGUGAUGACCAAUUGGUAGUUAGUCUUGUCUCAUCGCUGCAACUCCCGUACGGACUCGGGAGAGGCGAAGGUCGAGAGCCGUGCGUCCUCCGAAACACAACCCAACCAAGCCGCACUGCUUCUUGACACAAUGCCUACUUAACCCGGAUGCCAGCCGCAUCAAUGUGUCAGAGGAAACACAGUGCACCUGGCAACCGUGUCAGUGUGCACUGCGCCCGGCCCACCACAGGAGUCACUAGUGCGCGAUGGGACAAGAACAUCCCUACCGGCCAAACCCUCUCCUAACCAGGACAAUGCUGGGCCAAUUGUGAGCCACCCCAUGGGUCUCCCAGUUGCGGCCGGCUGCGACAGAGCCUGGACUUGAACCCAGGAUACAAUUUCAAACAAAUGAUGAAGUUAGAACUAACCAGAUAUUGCUUUCAACAAAUCAAAAAGGGCUUUGGUUGCUUCCAUUUGCUCCCAGCUGGAUUGUUCCUUUUUCAAACACGGUGAGUCUUCUAAUUUUGUCUGACUCCCCAUUUCAUUUCCUUUACUCCUGGGGAUACCUCCUGACAUUUUGAAAGUGAGUUUCUCCUUUUUAUUCAACUUUCCACCGAAAGGAUGUGAUGGACUGUCAGCGAGGUCAAAUUGCGAGCUUCCAUUUUCACUGGAACGUCGCAGUCUACAGAAAGAGUCAGUCUGGUUUUCAGGGGUGUCUGAUUUCGUUUGGGCCAGACACUCCUCUGAUCUAGAUAGCCCUUUGAUUGCCAUCUUUAGGUGGGAAGUUAUGGGUUUCUCAGAUUCCUCGGUUUUGUCUGCAUUAACCAAAAUGUCAGAUUUCUCUAUUGGUUCGGUCUCGUCAUCUCUGCAGCACUCAAUGGAACUGGGUUCUGAAGGAGAAUCCUCAUCACAUUGGGAGAUGAUGAUACAUGGGCCCCGGGCCAGGUCAUCCCUUGUAUCGCCAUCCAGGUUCUCAGUUGCAGUUGGUUCUGCAGCCUCCGUUGUGUUGGAAUCAUCUGGUUUGGUCCCUCUUCCAAGGCUGUUGUGCUUGUCCUGAAAAAUUCAUUGUGCAUUGCAGACCUGGGUUCACAUACAUGUACAUUUGAUUAUUAAAAUUAUUGUUUUUGGUAUGAGUACGUUUAAAUAAUGUGGCCCAAAUCAACUAGCUACUACUUCUGUUUGAGGUAUUUGAAAGUAUUUUCUAAUAAUUUCCCAUAAAAAGCCUACUAUUAGAAAAUAUUUCCAAAUACAUUAUUUCAAAUACCAAACAGACCUACGUUCAAAUGCACGAGAGUGUUUGAAAAUACAUGGUAUUUUGUUUUUCUUAAACUUUUUACCCCUUUUUCUCCCCAAUUUCGUGGUAUCCAAUUGGUAGUUCCAGUCUUGUCCCAUCGCUGCAACUCCCUUACGGACUCGGGAGAGGCGAAGGUCGAGAGCCAUGUAUCGUCCAAAACCCGCCAAGCCGCACUGCUUCUUGACACACUGCUCGCUUAACCCGGAAGCCAGCCGCACCACUGUGUAAGAGGAAACACCGUACAGCUGGCGACCAAAGUUGCGGCCGGCUGCGACACAGCCUGGGCUCAAACCCAGGUCUGUAGUGACACCUCUGGCACCGCGAUGCAGUGCCUUAGACCACUGUGCCACUCGGGAGGCCAGGUAUUUAGCUUAAAAAAUAUAUAUAAAUACCCAAAUACUUACUUCCAAAUGUCUUUGAAAGUCGUGCAUUGAAACACUAUCACAAAUAUUGACCAACUGCUGGAGAGUCACUACUGGUUUGGUUUCUUAAUCCACCAGCAGAGGGCAUCAUUUGCCAUUUGUGGUGACACUGACAUGAUACAAGACUACCUGGCUUGCAGGCCUUGCUCAACAGGUUAUUAAAAUGCCUACCUCAUCUUCCUCUUGGCCCGGAGUCAGGAAGUUGGCCAGGCCACUGAAGAGGCACCACACAUGAUCCUCUUCAACCAGCAGCUUUUCCAGAGGACACAGAAACUGAAAUACUGGCUGAGUGUGGCCCACUAGAACAUCAGACACCAGCUCCUGGAGAGGACAUUUACUUUUAUCAUAUCAGAUCACCUAUCUGUGUGCAUUUAUGCUCAUGCAUGAAGUGUGCCAGUGUACCUGUAAGAAGAGCUUGAUGGACUUCCUGGCUUCUUUAAAAUCCUCAUUGAUGUUCACCUCAGUGCUCUCCUCUAACACGUAUAGGGAGGGUAAAGUAGCAGAGUCCUAAAAAAAAUAAAAAAAAAAACAAUCCAAACAAGGGAAAAAUAAUAAUAAAAGAGAAAUUGUAUGAUCUGUAAAUAAGAGCGUCUGCUAAAUGACUCAAGUGUAAAUCUGGACUCAUUGAGGAUGCAAAAGGGAGACCAGUGUCAAAAGAGACUAUACACUCAGACUAUUAGCAAUGGUUGUAUCUAAUUGUGCAACAUCCAUAAGAUGUCAAAGAUAAAUGAAACAGUACAGUAUGUGUUACAUUCACAAGUCCUGCAGCGCUCUGUUUUGACAACAGUGCUGUGGUUUUGUCAUCUUGAGACCCAACAAAAUAAGGAAGUUACCAUUGGUCUCAUUUCUCAAAAACCUUUUACACUGAAUUCAAUACCAAACAGCAUAGCGGCUUUACCUCAUUUCAUUGGCCAUGAGGUUACAUAGUGAAAUGGUACCUUGUGCAACACAAUAGCAGCAAUACAAUCUCCCUCUUCAUAAUUCCCUAACCUGCCAUAGGUUGCGGAAGUGGAUGAUGUCUGUUUUGGUCUUCCUCACGUUCCAGUGAAGAUUUUCAGGGUUGUCCCUCUCCUCCAGGUGAACUGUAAAAUACAGUUCCUCGUUUUCCCUCUCCACCUACAGACAGUAACAUCUUACUUUACACACCAUUCUGGCACAAACAGGUAACAGAAUGACCAAGGACAUGUCUUCACACAGCUCAGUUUCAUAACUAAGAGUAGUUGCAUUCAAAGCAUUCCACAGUGACUUGUGUGCGAUUAGUGACUUACACAAGGGACGCUGACAGCCCAGUGGCCAACCCGCCACAGCUCAUACGACAGCUUGAAUUCCAUCAUAUCCUCUUGUACACUGUUCCAGUAGCUCUCCAGAUCACUGUCCUCCUGGUGAAACAAACCAAUGACAAAAUAAAAAUGUCAGCUGUGUUAUAUUUCAUCCUCAGUUUGAUACUUAAUGUUACCAGACUAUAAAUAGAACAAUGUUUGGGGAGGAGAGAGGACAUUCAGAAAUAAUAUGAAAUAAUCUUCUAUUGGAUAGAUGGCAAAACAUGUACUGUCUGUAUGUAUGCACUGUCUUUAGAAAUCAAUAGAAUUGCUAUAAAAAAAAAAGACUAGAACAGGGUGAAUAGUGCAGUGAUGACUGCAGAGCCGCUCUUUCUGGUGCAGUGUCCUUACGCUGUCAGAGUCCUGCUGGUUCCGGAUGGAGCCCUCCCGGCUACUCCCUUCAUUUUCGUUUGAUGGACGACCCUGGAUAGACAGGGCCGUGACAACCAGCGCCUGCUCCCUUUUCUUCAUCUUCUCCCUUUUAGCCUUCUUCAAUCUCAUCUUGUCAAGGAAUUUAGACCAGCCUUCCUUCAAUUUGUUGGCUGGAAAAACCACACAUAUCUGAUUAGCUAAGUGUCGACAAUUUUCAUGGCCCUUUUCUAUGUCACAAGUUGACUGCAACUAUGAUAACUUUAAGGCAGGAGAAAGAAAACAAACAUGAAAAAAAUCAUCAUGGAUCACACAGAAUAAACUGGACAUUUUAAUUAGCUUAGUAAUGGUUUCAAAUACACAAAUACCCUCACCUUUCUUUUUGGACUUGCUGUCACUGGUUUGAGCACCCUCUGUUUCUUCCUGUGUCCUAAAAUGGCCACAAAACAAAACCAAAGCACAAUUUCUUUCUGUGUUCUCUGCACCCUUGCAGCACUGAAGCGUGUUUAUUAAAGACAAGAGAGGCAGCCUGGUAGGAAAAGGUCCACUCACGCUCCACUGGCCUGGCUCUCCAGGGAGACGGGAGAGGCCCUGUCAGAGUGGGACUCACACAGCUCCUCCACAGAGCUCUUACGGGUCGCUCCAUCCAGCUGACUCACCACCAGCUGGUUGAGGUUGUCAGGGUCUGAGAGCCACCGCACCAGCAGGUCCAGUGCUGAGGGCAUGGAUGACAAAGUCAAUGUGAUACUGACUACAGAGUAAAACCACAUGGUAGUGGGACAAAACCAUGUUCAAUAAAUACUAAACAAAAAUAUAAACUGCCCCAUGAGCUGAAAUAAAAUAUCUUAUUUGGGAAGCUUAUUUCUCUUAAAUCUUGU
rnacentral:lncRNA from 1 species